CACAGAGGAAUCACCAUGGACUUUGUGCUGAGAUGGGUUUUGCUUGUUGCUAUUUUGAAAGGUGUCCGGUGUGAGGUGCUGCUGGUGGAGUAUGGGGGAGGCUUGGCAAAGCCUGGGGGGGUCCCUGAGACUCUCCUGUGCAGGCUCUCGAUUCACCUUCAGUAGCUACUACAUGAACUGUGUCCACCAGGCUCCAGGGAAUGGGCUGGAGUGGGUUGGACAAGUUAAUCCUAAUGGGGGUAGUACAUAUCUCACAGACUCCGGAAGGGCCGAUUCACCAUCUCCAGAGAAAAUGCCAAGAACACGCUUCAUCUGCAAAUGAACAGCCUGAAAACUGAGGACACGGCCUUGUAUUGUACCAGAGACACAGUGAGGGGAGUACAAUGUGAGCCCAGACACAAACGUCCCUGCAGGGCCAUGCAGGGAGGCUUCAGGAAGCAGCUCCUAGAUGGGCAGAAGCCGGCAAACGUGUGUGUCCACACAGGAACUAGAGCCUCUCUCGCGGAUUAG